rnacentral:rRNA from 1 species
UACGAAGGGGGCUAGCGUUGCUCGGAAUCACUGGGCGUAAAGCGCACGUAGGCGGCUUCUUAAGUCAGGUGUGAAAUCCUGGAGCUCAACUCCAGAACUGCCUUUGAUACUGAGGAGCUUGAGUCCGGGAGAGGUGAGUGGAACUGCGAGUGUAGAGGUGAAAUUCGUAGAUAUUCGCAAGAACACCAGUGGCGAAGGCGGCUCACUGGCCCGGUACUGACGCUGAGGUGCGAAAGCGUGGGGAGCAAACAGG